CCUACGGGAGGCAGCAGUGGGGAAUAUUGCACAAUGGGCGCAAGCCUGAUGCAGCGACGCCGCGUGAGGGAUGAAGGCCUUCGGGUUGUAAACCUCUUUCAGUAGGGAAGAAGCUGGUCUUUCGGGGUUGGUGACGGUACCUGCAGAAGAAGCGCCGGCUAACUACGUGCCAGCAGCCGCGGUAAUACGUAGGGCGCAAGCGUUAUCCGGAAUUAUUGGGCGUAAAGAGCUCGUAGGCGGUUUGUCGCGUCUGCCGUGAAAGUCCGGGGCUUAACUCCGGAUCUGCGGUGGGUACGGGCAGACUAGAGUGCAGUAGGGGAGACUGGAAUUCCUGGUGUAGCGGUGAAAUGCGCAGAUAUCAGGAGGAACACCGAUGGCGAAGGCAGGUCUCUGGGCUGUAACUGACGCUGAGGAGCGAAAGCAUGGGGAGCGAACAGGAUUAGAUACCCUGGUAGUCCAUGCCGUAAACGUUGGGCACUAGGUGUGGGGGACAUUCCACGUUUUCCGCGCCGUAGCUAACGCAUUAAGUGCCCCGCCUGGGGAGUACGGCCGCAAGGCUAAAACUCAAAGGAAUUGACGGGGGCCCGCACAAGCGGCGGAGCAUGCGGAUUAAUUCGAUGCAACGCGAAGAACCUUAC
rnacentral:rRNA from 1 species